rnacentral:rRNA from 1 species
CCUACGGGAGGCAGCAGUGAGGAAUAUUGGACAAUGGACGAGAGUCUGAACCAGCCAAGCAGCGUGAAGGAUGACUGCCCUAUGGGUUGUAAACUUCUUUUAUAUGGGAGUAAAAUGUUCCACGUGUGGGCUUUUGUAUGUACCAUAUGCAUAAGGAUCGGCGAACUCCGUGCCAGCCGCCGCGGUAAUACGGAGGGUCCGAGCGUUACCCGGAUUUAUUGGGGUUAACGGGAGCGUAGGUGGGUUGUUAAGUCAGUUGUGAAAGUUUGCGGCUCAACCGGAAAAUUGCAGUUGAAACUGGCAGUCUUGAGUACAGUAGAGGUGGGCGGAAUUCGUGGUGUAGCGGUGAAAUGCUUAGAUAUCACGAAGAACACCGAUUGCGAAGGCAGCUCACUGGACUGCAACUGACACUGAGGCUCGAAAGUGUGGGGAGCAAACAGGAUUAGAUACCCCUGUAGUC